rnacentral:rRNA from 1 species
GACGAACGCUGGCGGCGUGCCUAAUACAUGCAAGUAGAACGCUGAAGAGAGGAGCUUGCUCUUCUUGGAUGAGUUGCGAACAGGUGAGUAACGCGUAGGUAACCUGCCUUGUAGCGGGGGAUAACUAUUGGAAACGAUAGCUAAUACCGCAUAACAAUGGAUGACACAUGUCAUUUAUUUGAAAGGGGCAAUUGCUCCACUACAAGAUGGACCUGCGUUGUAUUAGCUAGUAGGUGAGGUAAUGGCUCACCUAGGCGACGAUACAUAGCCGACCUGAGAGGGUGAUCGGCCACACUGGGACUGAGACACGGCCCAGACUCCUACGGGAGGCAGCAGUAGGGAAUCUUCGGCAAUGGGGGCAACCCUGACCGAGCAACGCCGCGUGAGUGAAGAAGGGUUUCGGAUCGUAAAGCUCUGUUGUAAGUCAAGAACGGGUGUGAGAGUGGAAAGUUCACACUGUGACGGUAGCUUACCAGAAAGGGACGGCUAACUACGUG